AUGAACGCUGGCGGCGUGCCUAAUACAUGCCAGUCGAGCGAACAGACGAGGAGCUUGCUCCUCUGACGUUAGCGGCGGACGGGUGAGUAACACGUGGAUAACCUACCUAUAAGACUGGGAUAACUUCGGGAAACCGGAGCUAAUACCGGAUAAUAUAUUGAACCGCAUAGUUCAAUAGUGAAAGACGGUUUUGCUGUCACUUAUAGAUGGAUCCGCGCCGCAUUAGCUAGUUGGUAAGGUAACGGCUUACCAAGGCGACGAUGCGUAGCCGACCUGAGAGGGUGAUCGGCCACACUGGAACUGAGACACGGUCCAGACUCCUACGGGAGGCAGCAGUAGGGAAUCUUCCGCAAUGGGCGAAAGCCUGACGGAGCAACGCCGCGUGAGUGAUGAAGGUCUUCGGAUCGUAAAACUCUGUUAUUAGGGAAGAACAAAUGUGUAAGUAACUAUGCACGUCUUGACGGUACCUAAUCAGAAAGCCACGGCUAACUACGUG
rnacentral:rRNA from 1 species